GAUGAACGCUGGCGGCGUGCCUAAUACAUGCAAGUCGAGCGAACAGACGAGGAGCUUGCUCCUCUGACGUUAGCGGCGGACGGGUGAGUAACACGUGGAUAACCUACCUAUAAGACUGGGAUAACUUCGGGAAACCGGAGCUAAUACCGGAUAAUAUAUUGAACCGCAUGGUUCAAUAGUGAAAGACGGUUUUGCUGUCACUUAUAGAUGGAUCCGCGCCGCAUUAGCUAGUUGGUAAGGUAACGGCUUACCAAGGCGACGAUGCGUAGCCGACCUGAGAGGGUGAUCGGCCACACUGGAACUGAGACACGGUCCAGACUCCUACGGGAGGCAGCAGUAGGGAAUCUUCCGCAAUGGGCGAAAGCCUGACGGAGCAACGCCUCGUGAGUGAUGAAGGUCUUCGGAUCGUAAAACUCUGUUAUUAGGGAAGAACAAAUGUGUAAGUAACUAUGCACGUCCUGACGGUACCUAAUCAGAAAGCCACGGCUAACUACGUG
rnacentral:rRNA from 1 species